CGUGAUAAGCUGCGAUAAGCUUCGGGGAGUUGCACGUAAACUUUGAUCCGAAGAUUUCCGAAUGAGGAAACUCACUUAGAGUAAUGUCUAAGUAUCAUUAAGUGAAUACAUAGCUUAAUGAGGGGAACUCAGGGAACUGAAACAUCUAAGUACCUGAAGGAAGAGAAAGAAAUUCGAUUCCGUAAGUAGCGGCGAGCGAACGCGGAUUAGCCCAAACCAAUAAAGUUUUCUUUAUUGGGGUUGAGGACAUACCACAUAUAAGAGGUCAUUAUAGACGAAGAAGUUUGGAAAAACUCAUCAUAGAAGGUAAUAAUCCUGUAGUCAAAAUAAUAAUUCUUUAGGUAUGAUCCAGAGUACCACGGGACACGUGAAACCCUGUGGGAAGCAGGAGGGACCACCCUCCAAGGCUAAAUACUACCUAGUGACCGAUAGCGUAUAGUAC
rnacentral:rRNA from 1 species